rnacentral:rRNA from 1 species
UGGUGAGGUAAUGGCUCACCAAGGCGUCGACGGGUAGCCGGCCUGAGAGGGUGACCGGCCACACUGGGACUGAGACACGGCCCAGACUCCUACGGGAGGCAGCAGUGGGGAAUAUUGCACAAUGGGCGGAAGCCUGAUGCAGCAACGCCGCGUGAGGGAUGACGGCCUUCGGGUUGUAAACCUCUUUUAGCAGGGAAGAAGCGAAAGUGACGGUACCUGCAGAAAAAGCGCCGGCUAACUACGUGCCAGCAGCCGCGGUAAUACGUAGGGCGCAAGCGUUAUCCGGAAUUAUUGGGCGUAAAGAGCUCGUAGGCGGUUUGUCGCGUCUGCUGUGAAAACCCGAGGCUCAACCUCGGGCCUGCAGUGGGUACGGGCAGACUAGAGUGCGGUAGGGGAGAUUGGAAUUCCUGGUGUAGCGGUGGAAUGCGCAGAUAUCAGGAGGAACACCGAUGGCGAAGGCAGAUCUCUGGGCCGUAACUGACGCUGAGGAGCGAAAGGGUGGGGAGCAAACAGGCUUAGAUACCCUGGUAGUCCACCCCGUAAACGUUGGGAACUAGUUGUGGGGUCCAUUCCACGGAUUCCGUGACGCAGCUAACGCAUUAAGUUCCCCGCCUGGGGAGUACGGCCGCAAGGCUAAAACUCAAAGGAAUUGACGGGGACCCGCACAAGCGGCGGAGCAUGCGGAUUAAUUCGAUGCAACGCGAAGAACCUUACCAAGGCUUGACAUACACGAGAACGCUGCAGAAAUGUAGAACUCUUUGGACACUCGUGAACAGGUGGUGCAUGGUUGUCGUCAGCUCGUGUCGUGAGAUGUUGGGUUAAGUCCCGCAACGAGCGCAACCCUCGUUCUAUGUUGCCAGCACGUAAUGGUGGGAACUCAUGGGAUACUGCCGGGGUCAACUCGGAGGAAGGUGGGGAUGACGUCAAAUCAUCAUGCCCCUUAUGUCUUGGGCUUCACGCAUGCUACAAUGGCCGGUACAAAGGGCUGCAAUACCGCGAGGUGGAGCGAAUCCCAAAAAGCCGGUCCCAGUUCGGAUUGAGGUCUGCAACUCGACCUCAUGAAGUCGGAGUCGCUAGUAAUCGCAGAUCAGC